rfam:Clostridium sp. CAG:127 genomic scaffold, scf130
AUAUAUCUGGAAUGUUCGAUAACUCCUGUUAUUUUUGAACCUACAUUUACUUUAAACGGGAUUCCUAUAUCUGUGAUAUUAUGUCAGGCCUCCUCCGAGUGGAAGACAGACGAUCACAUGCGGUUGCCCACCUAGCGUCAGCUAGGAGUCAAAAGGCAGGAACCGGCAUCCCGGAUAUAUU